rnacentral:rRNA from 1 species
UACGGGGGGGGCAAGCGUUGUUCGGAAUUACUGGGCGUAAAGGGCUCGUAGGUUGCCAACUAAGUCGGACGUGAAAUCCCUCGGCUUAACCGGGGAACUGCGUCCGAUACUGGUUGGCUUGAGUUUGGGAGAGGGAUGCGGAAUUCCAGGUGUAGCGGUGAAAUGCGUAGAUAUCUGGAGGAACACCGGUGGCGAAGGCGGCAUCCUGGACCGACAUUGACGCUGAUGAGCGAAAGCUAGGGGAGCAAACGGG